rnacentral:lncRNA from 1 species
AAGAACAGUCUAACUCAGCUUAUAUAUAUGAUGCAAAGCACGAGGAAGUCGCUUUAUAUCAUAAAUAGGUAAGCAUAUUAGAAGACAAAAACAGAGGAUGCAUAAUUUAACUUGCAACUGUUCAAAAACAAAACAUUCUUUUAAUCAAAAUCAUAGAGUAUUAGUUACAUUUUAAGAUCAAAACAGUAACACACGUUAGAACAAAAGAUAGAAAACUAAAAAGGGAUUGCAAUUGUCUAUGGAACAAGACACUGUGUAGAGAUUGCAAGAACCAAUAAUAUUCAUCAUGAUUAACAUAUGCAAACAAGCACCAGCAACAACCUGACACUACAUGAGAACACAAAAGAACAAACAAGUAGUCUUGUUGCAAAGUAACAAGACAUACUGAUCGAGAAAAUGAGAAACUAGGUCGAGAGAGAUGAGAGAGAGAGUCAUGUAAUAACUAAUAACUAUAAACCGAUAAAGGACUCACAGGAACGUGAGAGAAUCUUUGUCUAUCUCCGAAAUUUUCACAAAGAUUCUAGGGAAAGUUAAGAGAUGUGAAUCUCCGGUAGGAGAGUACUGGUUUGGGAUCUAUUCUUCACGGCUUCACCUCCUGUUGUUUUAUCGGAUCGUUAGAGAUCGAGAACUUUGAUCGCCUGAAAACAGAGAAUCCGAUUAUGGACUCAGGAAGACUUUGAGUUUCGGCCGGAAAAUUGAAACCCUAAAGUUUUUUUUUUUCGUUUUCGAGAGAGUAAACCCUAAUAACCUAAACUCUGUUUCGUAGAUCUCUUGCUUGGAAAACAAGUUGUAUGUUUAUUCCAUCUUACCUAUUUUUGUGCGGUCAACAUUGCAUUCCAAUAUCCUCGUAUUUUCCAAAAUAUUAUCUCUUAAACAAACAAGAUUUUGAUUCUUUUUAAGGAAGAUUUUUGUAAGUCUUUGAAACCCACGCAUUA